ensembl:lncRNA
AGGCGCUGGGUGCAGCGUCUCUGCACACGGCUCCCCCACGCCAUCUUGAACAGAGUGUUGGGGGCGGAGCCUUUGCCGUCGUCGCCACCAUUUUGCACCAGGCAUCCUGUUGGGAAGAGCUGGAGGGAAACCUUUGCACCAGGUGCCUUGGGAACUAGGGAGCUAGACUCAGCGCAGUGAAAACAAGGUUAAGUCUACCCAGAUAAUGUGAAAUGCUAAGCUGGAUGAAGCACAAGCUGGAAUCAAGAUUUCCGGGAAAAAUAUUAAUAACCUCAGAUAUGCAGAUGACACCACCCUUAUAGCAGAAAGCAAAGAACUGAAGAGCUGCUUCAUGAAAGAGGAGAGUGAAAAAAUUGGCUUAAAACUCUACAUUCAGAAAACUAAGAUCAUGGCAUCCAGUCCCAUCACUUCAUGGCAAAUAGAUGGGGAAACAAUGGAAACGGUGUCAGGCUUUAUUUUCUUCGUCUCUAAGAUCACUGCAGGUGGUGACUGCAGCCGUGAAAUUAAAAGGCACCUGCUCCUUGGAAGAAAAGCUAUGACCAACCCACACAGCAUUUAAAAACCAGAGACAUUACUUUUCCAACAAAGGUGCGUCUUGUCAAAGCUAUGGUUUUCCCAGUAGUCACAUAUAGAUGUGAGAGUUGGGCCAUAAAGAAGGCUGGACGCCGAAGAAUUGAUGCUUUCAAAUUGUGGUGCUGGAGAAGACUCUUGAGAGUCCCUUGGACUGCAAGGAGACCCAACCAGUCUAUCCUAAAGGAAAUCAGUCCUGAAUAUUCAUUGGAAGGACUGAUGCUGAAGCUGAAACUCCAGUAUUUUGGUCACCUGAUGCAAAGAACUGACCCACUGGAAGACACUGAUGCUGGGAAAGAUUGAAGUUGGGAGGAGAAGGGGUAGAGGAUGAGAUGGUUGGAUGACAUCACCAACUUGAUGGACAUGAGUUUGAGCAAGCUCUGGGAGUUGGUGAUGGACAGGGAAGCCUGGCAUGCUACAGUCCAUGGGGUCGCAAAGAGUUGGACACAACUGAGCAACUGAACUGAACCCAGAUAAUCUCCUUCCAUUAAGUACAGUUAUCAACCUUAGUUACAUCCACAAGAUCACGUCUAUCAUGAAACGUAAGGUAGUCAUGGAAGUAAAACCAGGAAUGGAAGGUCCUGGGACCAUCUUGGGACUCUGCCCUUCAGGCCCAUGUAAAGGACUGAGCAGAAUUCUGGAGGGACAUGUGCUGUCUCCCACCCACUGGCUUCCUUUUUGAUACUUGGGGACCAGAGCAAUUUUUCCUUGAUUCCUGGAGGGACAUGUGCUGUCUCCCACCCACUGGCUUCCUUUUUGAUGCUUGGGGACCAAAGCAAUUUUUCCUUGAUUCCUAGAGGGACUGAUCAUCAUGAAUCUAUCUACAUAGUUCCAAGAAACUUUGCUUAGUGAGCAGACCCUGCAUUUUGUGGGGCUUAUCAGAUCCUCCUGCAGACAAAUGUGAGGAUAUGGCAGUCAGGGCCUUUGAAGUGAAGACCCCUACCCCCAUCUGUCAACCUGCAGGACAUCAUCUGCUGAGUGAACAGUUUGAACACCAGUGGGUAGAGGCACUUGUACAAAACCUUGACAGCUUGUUGGUGCCAAAUGGGAGGGAAAUCUGCCUCGGCAGCACUUCCUCCCCAGUGCUCUUCCUAAUCAGGGAGUCCCUAUGACCUUGUGGGAUGGGGAAGUACAAGCACAUAACACAUGGAUUCCUCUCAGAUACUCAAGUGCAGAUGGAGCAGCAAUACAGCGACUUGGCCCAGACGGCAUGCAGCCAAGUUUUUGUUAGUUUCCCCUUCCCUGUGAGGUCCCUGCCCAAACCCCAUCAGUUGAAUUCAAGUGCCCUUCUCCCUCAAGGGCCAGGUAUGAUGGUCAUGUGGGUGUCUGUAUGCAACACAGCCAGGACAGUCUGAGGCACUCCCCACUCUGCCACCAAAGUUCCCCAGCACAUUAGGUGGGUGUGCUUGAUGACACCCAUCCCACCUCUAAUCACUGCUUUACUUAAAGCAGCUGAAGGCUGGGGGGAUCAGAGGAGAGAGCUGCUGUGGGCCAAUAAGCAAGCACAUUUAUUUUCAGUUUCAAGUGGCUCCUGUUCAGACUCAAGCAAGCUUCCUUUGAUUUCAGCUCACCUCAAAUUCUGUGUCCUCAUUGCUGGCACCAUUUAUGUUUACUCUGAGAACCCUUUGACUUGGCAGCCAAGCCCCAUUGCCUUCUGGCUGGGUUUAUAGGGCAUGAUAUCCUCCCUUCCUCUUCCUGCCUGAAGGAGAGUGGGCAGUAGCCAGUGCACCAGUUGAAAGGCUUCUUCAGUUCUUGUCUCUCAGCCUCUAAACAUUCAUUGAGAGAUAAGGCAGUGAGAGGCACUUACUCCCCACCAAUCACUACCUUGCAAGAGCAUUCACAUCCCAAUCCCAGAAAGUCUUUGUAUCCCAAGCCUUGGAACUUUGUUCCUCUUCCAGAAAGCCAUGAGAAUCCUGUCUUCUCUCCAAAACUGUCAAGAUCUGGGGAGGGUCUGAGAUUUUACCCUGCUAACAAGCCAACAAGUUAGCAUGUUACUGUACAAUAUUGUACUUACAGGUGACAAUACUGUAUCGUACACUUAAAAACUACUGAGUGUAGAUCUCAUGUUGUGUUCUUACCACAAUAAAAUAAAAACUGUAAAGAACCCAAAGAAAAGAAGGAAGAGGAGGAGGAUUAAAAAAAAAAAAACCCUUCCCAAGGUCUUUAUCCUCUUCAUUUUUUAAUCAGGGAAAUAGAGGCAUGAUGGUUAUGAAGCUGGGCUCUAGAGACACACCUCCUGGGUUUGGAUGCUAGGUUUUUUCAUCUUGUCUAGCUGUGUGACCUUGGUUACUUUAAGUAACCAAGUUACUUAACAGCUCUGACUCCAUUUCCCCAGCUAUAAAAUGAGGAUAAUAGUAUCUUAUAGGGCUGCUAUAAAGAUUAAAGAUGUCAACCCAUGUAAAAACACUUAGACCCUGGCACUCAGUAAAUUAUUACUGCAUGAGAUCCUGAAUAAAUGGUUAAAACAGUGACCCAUUCAGAACAUUUAAACCAUUUAAUCUUUGUUCCUAAAGAAACAGAACAUUUGUACAAGACUUUUUCUCUCAUUUAUUUUAAUCUACUGACCAAAUGGCAGUAAUGGUGGAUGUCCAUGUUCUUCUAGACAAGAAGGAAUGGGCUUGGGUUGAUUGAUGCCUGCUGUCUGUUCAGCACAGUGUCAACGGUUUUACAUAGAUUGAUUGUUUCAUCCUGUUCUCACAGCAAGGUGGCAAACUGGGCAUUUUGCCCCCAUUUUUCCGAAGAGUGAAAUUUGCCCCAAGGAUGAGUACUUUGUUCCAAAUCACAGCGCCCAGCAGGUCUGGAUAUGAAUUCAGAUCUGUCUGAUUAGCACACAGUGUAUUGAUGCAGGUGUCCACAGCUGCUCUGGAGGCAGCCACCUCAUUUCCUGGAGCCAAGGGAGAGAACAGAGAUCAUUAUAUAUAGUUGAAGGGGUGCAGUGCCAGUUGAAGGAGUUACUCAUCAACUGUCCCAGACUUCAUGGGUGUUUGUCUAGGUGUAAUACUCCGGGUGACCAAAUCUUUUCCUUGAUCAUUAACUAACCUGUCCUAUAAGAAAGUAAAUUAGAAAAAAAAACAAAUGUGUUGGGACUUGAAGGAUAAAUUAAUAUAGAUGCCUCAGAAAAGAUGGGAUAGGGCAAUUAAGUUUGUAAUUUGGGGACAUG